GAUGAACGCUGGCGGCGUGCCUAAUACAUGCAAGUCGAGCGAACAGAUGAGGAGCUUGCUCCUCUGACGUUAGCGGCGGACGGGUGAGUAACACGUGGAUAACCUACCUAUAAGACGGGGAUAAUUUCGGGAAACCGGAGCUAAUACCGGAUAAUAUAUUGAACCGCAUGGUUCAAUAGUGAAAGACGGUGUUGCUGUCACUUAUAGAUGGAUCCGCGCCGCAUUAGCGAGUUGGUAAGGUAACGGCUUACCAAGGCAACGAGGCGUAGCCGAGCUGAGAGGGUGAUCGGCCACACUGGAACUGAGACACGGUCCAGACUCCUACGGGAGGCCGCAGUAGGGAAUCUUCCGCAAUGGGCGAAAGCCUGACGGAGCAACGCCGCGUGAGUGAUGGAGGUCUUCGGAUCGUAAAGCUCUGUUAUUAGGGAAGAACAAAUGUGUAAGUAACUAUGCACGUCUUGACGGUACCUAAUCAGAAAGCCCCGGCUAACUACGUG
rnacentral:rRNA from 1 species